rnacentral:rRNA from 1 species
GAGUACACGUGAGUAACCUGCCCUUGACUUUGGGAUAACUUCAGGAAACUGGGGCUAAUACCGGAUAGGAGCUCCUGCUGCAUGGUGGGGGUUGGAAAGUUUCGGCGGUUGGGGAUGGACUCGCGGCUUAUCAGCUUGUUGGUGGGGUAGUGGCUUACCAAGGCUUUGACGGGUAGCCGGCCUGAGAGGGUGACCGGCCACAUUGGGACUGAGAUACGGCCCAG